AGAGUUGGUUGAUGAUAAGGAGGUGGUACGUUAAUUCCUCAAGUUUGGUCCUCGUACUAAAUCCUACCUUUAGCCACAGAAACCUGUUCUUCUUUGGUUUUAUCCACACGUCUAUGUCAAGUCAGAGCUCGUUGAAGAACCUCUUCAUUCGGCAAAAGGGCUGUUUUCAUCCUGGUUCAGGACGUUAGAGCGCAAUCUUACAUAGACAGCAUUAGAAUGCUGUUCUUUUUUUCUUUUUUUUGCAAGAGUGCCUCUAAGAGAGAGUUGCGACAGUAUUCAGCUAAACUCAAUCGCUCCCUGGGGUGAGCGUGUAAAAUUAGAGAUUUUAAGUACUCUGAAAGAAUCAGGGAGGAAAAAAACCAACGGAACCGUCUUUCCAAGUUGAAUCACUUCAGAACACACACAAAAAAGACUGCAUGUUUAAAUGCUUCCUAAUACCAACCUUCUCAUAUACUUGAAAUACUAGCAUCUCUAUGAGAAAUUGAAGAUAAUGAACCUGUCUCCACACCUAUUUCCACACAUCAAAAACAUGCAAGCAUAUUUAGUCUGAUGCUCAGGAAUGAUUGUAUUAUCCCUCCACUUAAAGAUGCUAAAUGCAAUUUACUCCAUAAAAAAGGCCACAUUGAACCAUUUCUAAGAAAGUUAUCAUGUCCUGGCUUUUUACACGAGGAAUGCAUUUCUCAAUGAAUAUUUCUUUUUAAAAAGUACUGUUCUAGAAUUUACUAUUUUUUUUACCAUCAAACUUCCUGGUGUUUUGCAAUUAUAAGUUUGCAAUAAGUUUAGAUUUUUUAGUUCUUAAGUAUUGAAUUGUAAAAACAUAUCAGCAUGGAUUACCAACAGCUCAGAAGAAAAAAAAUUAGUUAUACAAGUAGACUAUGCUUAACAACUGCCCUAUUUAGCAACUGUACAAAUUUACAACAGCGCUAAAAAAAUAAUUUUAUGACCAGUCA